rfam:Cnuibacter physcomitrellae strain XA(T) plasmid unnamed1, complete sequence.
UUCUGCGGCUUGUUCACGACGGAUCGUCCGGCACGUACCUGCCGGUGAAGGAGCAUCGA